UAUUACGUUACCCAUGAUUGAGGACGAUUAUGGUUUGCAGAAGAUAACUCAAAAUGUGGUGAAAGUACAUUACAUCGAGGGUAAUCAUAUUACUAUCAUG